GACGAACGCUGGCGGCGUGCUUAACACAUGCAAGUCGAACGGAAAGGCCCUGCUUUUGUGGGGUGCUCGAGUGGCGAACGGGUGAGUAACACGUGAGUAACCUGCCCUUGACUUUGGGAUAACUUCAGGAAACUGGGGCUAAUACCGGAUAGGAGCUCCUGCUGCAUGGUGGGGGUUGGAAAGUUUCGGCGGUUGGGGAUGGACUCGCGGCUUAUCAGCUUGUUGGUGGGGUAGUGGCUUACCAAGGCUUUGACGGGUAGCCGGCCUGAGAGGGUGACCGGCCACAUGGGGACUGAGAUACGGCCCAGACGCCUACGGGAGGCAGCAGGGGGGAAUAUUGCACAAUGGGCGGAAGCCUGAUGCAGCAACGCCGCGUGCGGGAUGACGGCCUUCGGGGUGUAAACCGCUUUCGCCUGUGACGAAGCGUGAGUGACGGUAAUGGGUAAAGAAGCACCGGCUAACUACGU
rnacentral:rRNA from 1 species